AUACUUACCUGGCAGGGGAGAUACCAUGAUCACGAAGGUGGCUUUCUAUUGCACUGCGGGUGUGCUGACCCCUGCGAUUUCCCCAAAUGUGGGAAACUCGACCGCACAAUUUGUGGUAGUGGGGGACUGUGUUCGCGCUUUCCCCUG
ensembl:snRNA U1 U1 spliceosomal RNA